UUUCUUUGACCUAUAUACGAACUCACAAGUAUAUUGGCCUGCCGUUUACUUGAGAAUCUAAUUGAUGUUAAAAGAUCAAUCACAAUUCAUGAUCUUUUUGGUUUAGGUAAACUGGCCUGCCGUUUACUUCAGAAUCUCAUUAAUGUUGAAAGAUCAAUCAUAAUUCCUUAUCUUUUUUGUUAAGGAAACAAAAAUAAUUUUUACUUGCCAUAAAUUGAAGACCCGAAUCAAUUAGUCAUUACUACAUUUCAAUUUCUCGUUUAGGGUUCUUGAUUAAGAGAUAGGCGCUUACAAGAAGUAUGAUCUCGUAUCAAGAAGUCUGAACUUGUAUUAGUUUUUUCACAUCAAUAAUAUUCUAUCGCUUAUUAAUAUAUAUUAAAAAAAGAAGAAGAGGCGCUUAUAUUAUCUAAACCCACCUAUUUUUCAACCAUUAUAAAAAAAAAAAAAAAACUCAAAUUUGAAUGUAUUUAAUAGUUGUCCUAGUAUUAGAAAAUAUUUACAGUCUAU
rnacentral:lncRNA from 1 species